rnacentral:rRNA from 1 species
UGGNUUGNNACUGCUUUUGNCAGGAAGAAACACUCGGACGUGUCCGAGCUUGACGGUACUGUGAGAAUAAGGAUCGGCUAACUCCGUGCCAGCAGCCGCGGUAAUACGGAGGAUCCAAGCGUUAUCCGGAAUCAUUGGGUUUAAAGGGUCCGUAGGCGGUUUGGUAAGUCAGUGGUGAAAGCCCAUCGCUCAACGGUGGAACGGCCAUUGAUACUGCUAGACUUGAAUUAUUAGGAAGUAACUAGAAUAUGUAGUGUAGCGGUGAAAUGCUUAGAGAUUACAUGGAAUACCAAUUGCGAAGGCAGGUUACUACUAAUGGAUUGACGCUGAUGGACGAAAGCGUGGGUAGCGAACAGGAUUAGAUACCCUGGUAGUCCAAGGGCGAAUUCNC